rnacentral:tRNA from 1 species
AAAACUUUAAGUUAAAAAAACUAAUAGCCUUCAAAGUUAUAAAUAAAAGGCAUAUCUUUUAAGUUUUA